rnacentral:rRNA from 2 species
CGGCGUGCCUAUCAUGCAAGUCGMGCGAAUGACGAGGAGCUUGCUCCUCUGAUUUAGCGGCGGACGGGUGAGUAACACGUGGGUAACCUGCCUGUAAGACGGGGAUAACUCCGGGAAACCGGAGCUAAUACCGGAUGAUAACGAGAAGCGCCUGCUUCUUUUUUGAAAGUCGGUUUCGGCUGACGCUUACAGAUGGGCCCGCGGCGCAUUAGCUAGUUGGUGAGGUAACGGCUCACCAAGGCGACGAUGCGUAGCCGACCUGAGAGGGUGAUCGGCCACACUGGGACUGAGACACGGCCCAGACUCCUACGGGAGGCAGCAGUAGGGAAUCUUCGGCAAUGGACGAAAGUCUGACCGAGCAACGCCGCGUGAGCGAUGAAGGCCUUCGGGUCGUAAAGCUCUGUUGUCAGAGAAGAACAAGUACCGGAGUAACUGCCGGUACCUUGACGGUACCUGACCAGAAAGCCACGGCUAACUACGUGCCAGCAGCCGCGGUAAUACGUAGGUGGCAAGCGUUAUCCGGAAUUAUUGGGCGUAAAGCGCGCGCAGGCGGUCUUUUAAGUCUGAUGUGAAAGCCCACGGCUCAACCGUGGAGGGUCAUUGGAAACUGGGAGACUUGAGUGCAGGAGAGAAAGUGGAAUUCCACGUGUAGCGGUGAAAUGCGUAGAGAUGUGGAGGAACACCAGUGGCGAAGGCGGCUUUUUGGCCUGUAACUGACGCUGAGGCGCGAAA